AUCCUCUAGCAUUCAGAUGAUAGCUACCCCAGCCAGCACCUUGACUACAACCUCAGGAGAGACCAUGAGCCAGAACCAUUCAGCUAAACUGCUCCCAGAGUCCAGACCCUCAGAAACUGAGAAGAGUCACUCAUACAGGAAUUAGUUUUAGAAAAAGCCAGAUGCCAAACAUACAUGAGCUGAGAAGAUGAAAGAGUAAAUUGAAUGCUGGGGGAGGAAGCUAGAUACAUUUGAAUGAGGACAAGAAAAUCACUGCAGUAGAAGAAUAAGAUUAAAUUGACUACAAAAUGCUGAAGUCAGUACAAAGAGAUCAACUAAGAUUGAGCAAACUCAUAGGUUUUGUGACCAACAAUAUAUUGCAAUCCGAGGGAAGAAAUGGAAGCAUUAUGAGCCAUUUUCAAAGGCUGUCACAAAAUGCACGCUGUAAUCACUGAACUGAAGAGAAUGAGUCCUUCCUGAUAU